GGGCGCCAGCAGGCCUAGCCUCGCCGGGAGCGUCCUCGGCGCUGAAGCCGCCUGCGCCAUCUUGACCGAGGGCAGCCUUCCGCUAUUUCCGCUCUUUCUCCGAAAGAGACCGCCAUCUUCGGGCACACGGGUUCAGUCCUUCAUCCACAUGCCAUGGGGCAGCUAAGCCCAUGUGCCACAACUGCUGAGGCUCUCUAGAGCCCGAGAGCCACAACUACUGAAGCCUGCGUGCCCAAGAGUCCAUGCUUUGCAACAGGAGAAGCCACUGCAAUGAGAAGCCUGUGCACCGCAACUAGAGAGUAGCCACUGCUCUCCACAGCUAGAGAAAGCCCUUGUGCAGCAGCAGAGACCCAGCACAGCCAAAAUAAAAGUUAAAUGAUUUAGCUAAAAUUUUAAAAAAUAAAGUGAAAUGUGUUUCUUUGAAUAAAGUGUUGAGUAGAUAGCAAGUUUGGGAGGGGUGUGCAGUUAAAUACAGAGGGACAUGCCAGGAAAGAGCUAGGUAUGAGCACCAAGCGUCUCAGGGAAGGGUGGCGUCCUAGAAGACACUCCUCUGUGGGGCACUCACUGCCAGGAGACCUCAGAUUAGGCCCCUUCCCUCCUCUUCUAGACGUUUCUGCUCCAGUCAGUAUUCUUGCCUGGAGAAUCCCAUGGACAGAGGAGCCUGGCAGGCUACAGUCCUGGGGUUACACAGUCAGACACGACUGAAGUGACUUAGCGUACAUGCACGUAUGCACUGGUAGCCACUAGCCACAUGUCCCUACUGAGCACCUAAAAUGUGGGUGGUGUGACAGGGAAACAACUUUUAUUUAAAUUUAUUUGAAUUUUUAAAUUGAGGCAGCACAGACAAGCAGGAUAAAUGCCAAAAAUCAAAAACCUGCAUGUAGGCAUAUCAUGUUCAAACUGCAGAAAAUCUUCAAAACAGAUUCUCGAAGAUAAAAAGAAAUCCUUUUAAAAGCCAGAGAGAGGAAAAAUUUUUAUCUAUAGAGGAACAAGGAUAAGAAUUACAUCAGUCUUCUUGUUAGAAACCAUGCAAGCAAGAAGAAAGGGAAGUGAAAUAUUUCAAGUAUUGAACCACCAGCCUAGAAUUCUGUAUCCAGCAAAAUUAUCCUUCAAAUGUGAAAGAGAAGACUUUCUCAAAGAAAAAUGGAGGGGAUUUGUCACCACUAGAUCUGAUAUGCAAGAAAUGUUUAAGAAAUUCCCGAGAAAGACAAAAUAAUAUAGGUCAGAAACUCAGACCUACUUUUAAAAGAAGAGCAUUAGAGAAGGAAUAAAUGAAGAGGUAAAAUCAAUUUUUAAUCUUUCAAAAUUGUAUUUGAUCUGACAGAUAACAGAUUUUUUAGUUAAAAUAAUAAUACAGGGUGCAAGCUUAUAGAUAAGUGAAAUGAGUGAUAGCCGUGUUUUAAGGGAUAGGAGGCAGGAACUACGGGGACUUCCCUCAUAGCUUAGUCGGUAAAGAAUCCCCCUGCAGUGCAAGAGACCAGAGUUCGAUUCCUGGGUCAGGAAGAUCCCCUGGAGAAGGAAAUGGCAACCCACUCCAGUAUUCCUGCCUGGAGAAUCCCAUUGACAGAGGAGGCUGGCGGACUACAGUCCAUGGAGUCACAAGAGUUGGACAUGACUUAGUGACUAAAUCACCACCAGGUAGGAACUGUGAAUACUGUUAUAAAAAGGUACCUGGACUGCCUAUAUAGUAGCUAUUUGAAAAAGAACUUGGAUUAGUUGUAAAUAUAUCCUGCAAACUCAAUGACAACCAUUUAAAAAAGCAAACAAAAUAUAAUUGUUAUGCUAAGAGAGGAGAAAAAAUAGAAUCAUAAAAUGUUUAAUUAAUACCAGAUUUGGCAAAAUACGACAAGGAUGACAAGACAAUAUGACAAGGCAAGAUAUGACAGAGGAUGAGAUGGUUGGAUGGCAUCACCAACUUGAUGGACAUGAGUUUGAGCAAGCUCUGGGAGUUGGUGAUAGACAAGAAAGCCUGGCAUGCUGCAGUCCAUGAGGUUACAAAAUCGGAUAUAACUGAGCAGCUGAACUGAAGGUAAAGUAAGAGUGGAAGACAAAAGUAACAUAAAGCAAGAGCAACAAGUAGAAAACAGCAACAAAUAUGGUAGAUACUAAUCCAGUUAUAUCAAUUAUCACUUUAAACACCAGUGAUCUAAAUAUAACAGUUAAAAAAAACUAUUGGACUGGAUAAAAAAUGAGACCCAACAAUGUUAUCUACAGGAAAUGCCAAAACACAGAUUAAAGGGACACAGAAAGAUAAACAGUAGUAAAAUACUUUCAUGACUUGAUGCUUGAAAUUCUUUGAUUAUUUUUUGAGCAUAAAAUACCCAUAUUUACUUUUUUAACUCAUUCACUACUGAUUGAGUUGGAGGCUAUGGUUUCAAGCACAUCUCUACAAACAGCAUGUUUUAGAAGUGGUAGGUUUUAUUUCUACUGAACAAACAAAAAUCCAGGUUGUAAUUAAUCACUGUAUUUUCUCCUUUUCACUUUUUUUUUUUUUUUUAAGAACUAGAGAGAUCAUAAUGGGCUACACUGGGACUUUGUUUGAAUGGAUGCCACUCACAUAUAUGGUGAAGGGUAUCGUGAUGUGACUAUGCAGAGUCAUUUUCAUUAAUGUUAUUUCAACAUUGGUGUCUUUUUUGCUUCUUCAGUGACCAGUUAUGAACAUAUUAAUAAUUAAAUAGUAUAUGACUAGAAGUAUAUUAAACAGUAUCAAAGCUCAAAACUUCAUUGCAGGAACAGUAUUUAGGUGAGUGACAGCCAGCUAAGUAAUAAUGAGACCGCACCACUUGCCCACCUUUGCACUUGUCCAACCUCCUCCUGCUACUGUAAGUGUGCCUACAGUAUCCACUCGAGGGUUCUCCACCGACUCCACAAUUCCAUUUCUAUGGAAGGUACACAAUAUAUAUUCCAAAAGGAGAAAGAAGCUCUUGUUGCCUCAAAAGAUGCUUUCUCUAACUGCCCUAAACUGGGACACUUCUCUGUGUAAAACACAGGCCCUUCUACUUUCUGUCUGUGGCCAUUUAACCCAGCUCUCCCUAAAGCUCAUGUCCUGCCAAGCAGACGCUGUCUCCACCUACCACCUCACAGUAGUUUCAAUCUAGGAUAGUGAUGACACACAAAAAAAGCUUGUGACUGCUUCUGGUUGCCCUAGAAAUCAGACCAAGGCAUCCUGAAGGAUCAACAGUAGGUAGCUGAAAAGUCUGCAAGAGGGCCAGAAACUUUAAUGGCUGGAAAACAGGACUUUGCAGAAUUGAGAAUGGGAGAUUAGAGCUGAGAGAAGAGGACACCAAGAGAAGAAGAGCGAAGAGCAGAGAUGUUGCUCGUAAAGCUGGCAAUUGAUAGGGCAAUGGCUGAGGCAGAAGACACCAAAGAUAAACAGCCUGGUGCCCUAGGAACAGCGGAAGUAACCAGGGAUGCGCAGAGGAGAAGGUACAAUGGGGGGCUGUGGAAGGAGCAGCUGGCAGUGCAGACCCAACCCUCACAGCCUCCUUUGGUGACUGACUCAGAAUGGUUGGCUCUGAGUGCAGAAGAACAGUAGGUAUUACCGUCCUUACUUUUUGAGUAAAAGCAGGAGAGUAUCAUUUGUGUGGGGAUGGGUGCAGCACAGGAAAGAAGACAUGGUCUGGAGUCACACAGACACAUCCCACAUCUGAAACAAACCAUGGGACCUUUAACAAGUCACUGAACCUCUCUUCACCUCAGUCCACUUGGCCAUGAAAUGGGGGAUAAUAAGGCUGUUUGCAGGACUAAGUAAAGGAAUCUAUUUGCGUUCUUAGUACAAUGCCUAGAGUAUGAUAAACUCUAAAAUAAUGUUGUUAUGGAAAUAAUAUAAGAAUUGCUUAAGAAAGAAAAGAUUGAAAGCAGAAAUGAGUCUUUGAGAAGUUAAAUAGCAAAUAGUGUUUUUUUUUUCUAGUUCUGUGUUAUAAAGUCCUUCUUUUUUGCUAAGAGAAGUCAGAGAAACAAUAUUUACAACGCAGAUUGCUAAGCAGAGAACCCUGUUUGCUAAGUGAGCAGGUUAAGAAACAAGGUUUUGAGGAUGCCUAAAUGUGACUGUGCUCUAUCAUCAGUGGUGAAUGUCUCUGCUUUAUUUUUCUGCAUUAAAAACAACCCUUUCUUGCUGUCAGAUUGUUUUAUUAUCUAUUUAAAAUGUAAAUCUUUCACAAGAUUAAUGAAAUGUUAUAGUUAGGUAGCUGUUAUUGGAAAUUAAUGAUAGCUUAUAGAUUAAAUUUAUUGUUCAUCACCUCAUGCAUAAGUGAACUUAAAAUGGACUUAACAACUUUGAAAACUGAACUUCUCAUCAAAGGCAAGUUCUCUGUUCUACUAACAAUAUACACAAACCAUGGUUUGGGGAAGUUGAAAUCGUAACUCAGCCUCUCUCCACUGGUAAAUGUGCUGUUGACAGCUUCAGCCUCAGACACAAUUUGGUUCUUUGUUUAUGCUUUUAC